rnacentral:rRNA from 1 species
GACGAACGCUGGCGGCGUGCCUAAUACAUGCAAGUAGAACGCUGAAGGAGGAGCUUGCUUCUCUGGAUGAGUUGCGAACGGGUGAGUAACGCGUAGGUAACCUGCCUGGUAGCGGGGGAUAACUAUUGGAAACGAUAGCUAAUACCGCAUAAUAGCAGUUGUUGCAUGACAACUGUUUGAAAGGUGCAAUUGCACCACUACCAGAUGGACCUGCGUUGUAUUAGCUAGUUGGUGGGGUAACGGCUCACCAGGGCGACGAUACAUAGCCGACCUGAGAGGGUGAUCGGCCACACUGGGACUGAGACACGGCCCAGACUCCUACGGGAGGCAGCAGUAGGGAAUCUUCGGCAAUGGACGGAAGUCUGACCGAGCAACGCCGCGUGAGUGAAGAAGGUUUUCGGAUCGUAAAGCUCUGUUGUAAGAGAUGAACGAGUGUGAGAGUGGAAAGUUCACACUGUGACGGUAUCUUACCAGAAAGGGACGGCUAACUACGUG